rfam:Purpureocillium lilacinum isolate PLFJ-1 scaffold00002, whole genome shotgun sequence.
GGGCGUGUGGUCUAGUGGUAUGGCGUCUGCUUCGCAUUGGAUUACCAACAUGCGUCUGCUGAAGGUCCGGGGUUCAAUUCCCCGCUCGUCCA